rnacentral:rRNA from 1 species
CAGAUUGAACGCUGGCGGCAUGCCUUACACAUGCAAGUCGAACGGCAGCAUGGGAGCUUGCUCCUGAUGGCGAGUGGCGAACGGGUGAGUAAUAUAUCGGAACGUACCCUAGAGUGGGGGAUAACGCAGCGAAAGUUGCGCUAAUACCGCAUACGAUCUACGGAUGAAAGUGGGGGAUCGCAAGACCUCAUGCUCAUGGAGCGGCCGAUAUCUGAUUAGCUAGUUGGUGGGGUAAAAGCCUACCAAGGCAUCGAUCAGUAGCUGGUCUGAGAGGACGACCAGCCACACUGGAACUGAGACACGGUCCAGACUCCUACGGGAGGCAGCAGUGGGGAAUUUUGGACAAUGGGCGCAAGCCUGAUCCAGCAAUGCCGCGUGAGUGAAGAAGGCCUUCGGGUUGUAAAGCUCUUUUGUCAGGGAAGAAACGGUGAGCUCUAAUACAGUUUGCUAAUGACGGUACCUGAAGAAUAAGCACCGGCUAACUACGUGCCAGCAGCCGCGGUAAUACGUAGGGUGCAAGCGUUAAUCGGAAUUACUGGGCGUAAAGCGUGCGCAGGCGGUUAUGUAAGUCAGAUGUGAAAUCCCCGGGCUCAACCUGGGAAUGGCAUUUGAGACUGCAUGGCUAGAGUGUGUCAGAGGGGGGUAGAAUUCCACGUGUAGCAGUGAAAUGCGUAGAGAUGUGGAGGAAUACCGAUGGCGAAGGCAGCCCCCUGGGAUAACACUGACGCUCAUGCACGAAAGCGUGGGGAGCAAACAGGAUUAGAUACCCUGGUAGUCCACGCCCUAAACGAUGUCUACUAGUUGUUGGGUCUUAAUUGACUUAGUAACGCAGCUAACGC